rnacentral:rRNA from 1 species
UACGAAGGGGGCUAGCGUUGCUCGGAAUCACUGGGCGUAAAGCGCACGUAGGCGGCUUCUUAAGUCAGGGGUGAAAUCCUGGAGCUCGACUCCAGAACUGCCUUUGAUACUGGCGAUCUUGAGUCCGGGAGAGGUGAGUGGAACUGCGAGUGUAGAGGUGAAAUUCGUAGAUAUUCGCAAGAACACCAGUGGCGAAGGCGGCUCACUGGCCCGGUACUGACGCUGAGGUGCGAAAGCGUGGGGAGCAAACAGG